CUGCUCCCUCUUAAUCACAGUCCCGUGGUAAACUCUUCGGAAAUGCUGAUGGCUGAAAACCUCUCCUUCAGCUCCGUCCUGGUUUUCCAAUGUGGUUAUGCCUGUGAUGGCAGCCUCUGCGGGGGACACAGUGUUUCUGGCACCCAGCGAGGGACAGUGGAGACACCCCAUUCACUCCAGGUUCUGCAGAUGAGAUCUGGGACAACUGACAAAAAGCUGGAGAAAGGUAAGAAUUCUUGCCAAAGUCAGCUCUACUGGAUCUUUAUCUGUGGCACCCCAUGGAAGAAGAAGUUUAAAAAAAUUUUUUUGUCCCCUACUUCCCAAAUUCUGAUGAUCAAGAGAAAAUCAUUUGUUUGAAUUGUGACUCCUAUGUAAAUGUGAUUUGGGGUACCCAUUCAUUAUUGAUCCUUUCCCUCCCAGGGACAGCUAUAACUUUCCUAUUUGUCUUGUGUCCUGAGAGCUUAGCUUGACUUUCUACCUGUCAGGGCAUGCAAAUUGUUGGCUUUGUAGUCCAUAAAAUUAAGCUGUAAAUAGCUAAAGUUAGACCAGCCAGGAUGUCAAUCAACUUCUGCUUUGCUUUGCUUUUCUGCAUUUUGGGGUACAUGGAGAAAGUCUGGAAGAUGCUGCCCUGUCUACAUAAGGACAUUACAAUCUUGUAACCUCAUCUGAAUCUUUGGCCCUAUAGUCUCUCAUAUUCUGAAGAUUCACCUGGUACCCCAACUGUUUGAAACUCAAAUACUCUGUUCUCUUGAAUCGAUGUUAACCAUGAGUAAGUUACUAGGCUACAGGCCUUACAAAACCAUAACGACAAAAAAGAAAUCAAUAUGAACAAUAAAUAAUCAUAGAAGGAAAAUUUAAAUUAAAUUAGAAAGUUAAUUCCUUUAUUAAUUUGCCUGGAAUAUUAGCUUGAGGAAAAAUGGACUUAAUGAAAGGAAUAUGAGGUGGAAGGAGCUCUGGAUAAAGCAGAUGAGGACUUCUGGGUAUUUUCAAGGCUUUAAAGGUCAAUUUUAUUCUAUUCCAUUUUGAAUUUAUAGAUUUUUUUCCAAAUGAAGAAACAUUUUAUAGCUCUUUACAUUUUUUAAACUGCG
rnacentral:lncRNA from 10 species